rnacentral:tRNA from 1 species
GCCCCUGUGGCGGAAUUGGCAUACGCGCAGCGCUUAGGACGCUGUCCCGAAAGGGUUAGAGGUUCGAAUCCUCUCAGGGGCA